GAGAAUACCUUACAUUCAGUGCAUUUUUAGAAUCCAAAUUCCUCUCGUGCUUCCUCUCAGAAGCUCUUGUCAGUCACGUCCUUCUACAGCAUGUAUUUUACUGUAUUCAUUGAGGUAUUGUCACUGUUGAUUUUGAAAGUCUUUAGGUUAUUUCAUGGACAAACAAACCAUGCUGAAGUCAAAGCAAGUUUAAUAACACUUCUUGUUGAACUCUAAAAUAUAAGAGGAUCAUUCAGCUUGACUACCUGGCAGCUGUGAAGUGUUUUAAUGAACAGAACCUUAUUUCUAUAUGAGUAUUAAAGCAAAAAGUGUUGGUGAAUAUACAUGCUUGUGCAGCAAGCAGAAAUCUCUUGUGCAGACUUUUUGCACCUCUCUCUUUCAAAUACAGUUUUUCUCAAGGGAUGCAGCCUGGAGCUCAUGGAAUGAUUUUGUAGUGCCAAGAUGCCAAGCAGUAGUUAGUAGAGUUUUCAAGUGCAAGUGCUCACAGUGCAAAUUGUGUUCCUGUACCUUUACUCUGGCUCUUCUCACAGAAAACCCUUCUGUGUCUUCACUAGCAAUGCACUGGCACCAAACCUGCAGCAGCAAGUGUUACCCUGGAGUUCAUCUUACAGAAUGCACAGGAAGGAGGAAAAAUGUACAUUUAUGUUUUCUACCUGCUCAUCACCACCUUUAUGAUUCAGGUCUGCAGGGUAGGAUUUGGGAUGUCCUACCCUCCAGAAACAACUCAGAUCAUUGUGAUAGCUGAAGUUGUGCAUAAGCAACAGAAGCAAUAAGUGAAGGCAGUGAGAUUCUGCAAGUUCUGUGCUUCAUUGGAAAUGUUGCAUCCCCAGGCUUGGAUAUGUCUCUGACCCAAGAGAGGUGCUCAGAGGAGAGAAGGAAGUUUAAUGAGAUUUAGUGCCUAGUCUGGCUUUGCAGCUGUUUCUGUUUCGGCUUUAUGAGGUGACAAGCCAAUAUGUCCAACAGAACAUCUCUCAUUGUCACU